rnacentral:rRNA from 1 species
UACGUAGGGUCCGAGCGUUGUCCGGAAUUACUGGGCGUAAAGAGCUCGUAGGUGGUUUGUCGCGUUGUUCGUGAAAACUCACAGCUCAACUGUGGGCGUGCGGGCGAUACGGGCAGACUAGAGUACUGCAGGGGAGACUGGAAUUCCUGGUGUAGCGGUGGAAUGCGCAGAUAUCAGGAGGAACACCGGUGGCGAAGGCGGGUCUCUGGGCAGUAACUGACGCUGAAGCGCGAAAGCCAGGGGAGCGAACGGG